rnacentral:rRNA from 1 species
UACGUAGGUGGCGAGCGUUGUCCGGAAUAACUGGGCGUAAAGGGAGCGUAGGUGGUAUGGUAAGUUAGAUGUGAAAGCCCAAGGCUCAACUUUGGAAUAGCAUCUAAAACUAUCAAACUAGAGUGCAGGAGGGGUAAACGGAAUUUCUAGUGUAGCGGUGAAAUGCGUAGAUAUUAGGAAGAACACCAGAGGCGAAGGCGGUUUACUGGACUGCAACUGACACUGAGGCUCGAAAGCGUGGGGAGCAAACAGG